rnacentral:lncRNA from 1 species
UUUAAAGACUCAGUUAGAAUCUUGUACAGAGUUCCUAGUAAAGAAUUCUGAGGAACUGGAAGUCUGUUGGAGUCCAACUGACAACUUCAUUCCUGGUGGUCUGUCUGUCUGAGAAGGGGCCUAUGAAUCAACUCUGGGAAAACCUGGAAAACCGAGUGGCAAUUAGAGAGGAAAAAAAAGUUGGAGCUUUGGGAAUAGCUGGAGAAAGAAGAACAAUAAGCAAGAAGAAGUAGAGUAAAGAUGGUGGAUUAGAGGCAGCAAAAGUUCAGACCUCCACAAACCCUUCUUUACCAAUCAAAAACACAAUGCUUUGAGGAGACUGAAAACCAAAUCUAACAACAGGACAGAGCCAGGGAACCCUCCUUCUGGAUCAAACUUAAAAGAUUUCUUCAAUAAAAUGAGUAACAUAGAAAAAUGUUUAACAUGAUUGUACAAGUAAAAUAUUCAUCAUAUUUCUUACUAUCACAGGGAUGAGAACAAGAGGUCUUGGCCAUCAUCACUCUGACAGCUGGCAUGAAGAUCACCUCAACAGGAUAGGCAACUCUAACUAUGAGGUGCUUUAUGUUCCAGUAAACAACCUAUAGUUAUUACCAUUAUUAAAAAUACCAGUUGUUAAAGUAGCAGCAGAGAUGGAAACAGGUGGGUUGUGUGGGCUGAGAUGUCACUCUUCUGGAAUGUGCAGUGAA